ensembl:lncRNA
GUUUUGCAUUUAAUUGAUUACAUUGUGCUGCACAUAUAAAAUGAAGUGUUUUGUCAUUUGCUUUGACUUUUAAGGCUGAAGCAGGAAAGAGUUCUGAGUGAAUGAAAACAGGAUUUCUUGAGCAACACUCAGCACUACUUUUUUCAAUGAAAGACCUCGAUCUCACAGAUAAAGUCCAAGCCAGCAUCCAUCUUCUGAAGGAGUCUCUUCAUCCAUCCGGCAGUCCCAGCCAAAGAAGCAGAUGUGAAUAUUGCAGAGCCAUGAACCAACCAACCUACAGUACUUCCAAAUCCAAAAGAGCAACUGGGAGCUAAAAUUGGUCCUUGCUUUUGGUUUUCCUUGGAGAUCUCCACAGCUGAGGAAGACAAGUGGAACCAACUGAGGCCCUCCAUGUAGAUUUAACACCAGUGGACGGAAAUAUGGUUGGUGUAUAUGGGUGAUGCAGUUCUAUUGUCAUGGGCUGAUGUUCAUUCCCACUAACAGCGUAUAGGAAAUGCUGGCUUUACCAAGCUGGUGGCAUGCAGGAAUCCUUGCAUUCACAGUCCUUUGCUAAAACAAGGAAAAGUAUCAACCAAACUCCCCUCUCUCCUCUUUUCCGUCUCUUUUCGAAGUAAAGAAAGCGUGGGACAAACGGAUUAAACCGUUGAAGAACUGCAGGUUUUUCUGGUACUAAAGGCUUCUUGUUCGCUGACAAAAUGAAGAAACGGAAACGUCUCUCUGAAUGAAUUAGACGAUGACAAUGACGUGGCCGACACAGAGGGAGCGUGUUGGCAUGCAUUUCUUUCCACGGUUUGCUCUGUUUUUAUCUACAUUCCAGAUCGGAACUGUUCCCUCUUCCUCACCUCUCUGCAUUUCUUGAAUGCUGAUUCUUCUUUCUUUCCAGUCCCCGUCAAACGAUCCACAACUCGCCAUGUCUUUAAAGAAGUGGAUUUAAAAAAAAAAAAGAAAAGAAAGGAAAAUGUAGAAAUUUGGAAUGCAUGGAACUUUAUAUCCAAGACCUUACACUGUUCAUCGUUACUUAACAGAGGCCAUAAAGACACUGGAAACACAUCGACAUAAACAGUAACGAAAAAGAGAGAUUACUGAAGCAACACACAAGAAUCCGGCCACGGGAAUAAGAGGAGCAUUUACUUUUAUUGUGUUUUCGUUGUUGUUUGUUAUGUUCGGUAUGUAGAAUGAAG